rnacentral:snoRNA from 1 species
AGCUCCUUCAAAGAGGGCUCACGGGACAGAACCCAGGGGCUCUUAACGCUGUGACCAAAGAUCAAGUUCUCUAUAGACUAUGGUUUCCUGAUGGAGACACAAGC